UUUUAAGUAUGGUAUACCUUAAAUACCUAACCUAGACUCUCUUUGAAACAUCACUUUCGGUGUCUUUUUCUUUUUAUUAAAAGGAUAAUAUUGCUGUACCAAAUAAUGCCAAGUAUCUCCAAGCUAUGCGUAAACAAAGCAAUGAGGCAUAAUUUCGUACAAUAAAGAGAUGCUUUGAACGUAAGGUAUCUCGUACAACAGGCAACAAAGAUUAUUUAUUUCAUCAACCUUGACAAGGUACAAAUAAAGACUAUAUUGGUGUAGACCGGAGCAAUGCUACUGACUGUACAUUCCUCUAGGGGAUAGAAUAUUUAUUCUAGAGACGUCAACUCUGGACGUGCAAUUAUUGAGUAAAUGUUUACUCAUGGAAGGACUCCUCUGUGCCGGCAAAGAGUGCCCCUAUUAUUGAAAGCAACUAGUGCUUUUAGGAUCCAUUUGCACGAAAUGCGAUAAAACAGAAUCAAUACAUGUGAGGCGUGAACUCAUCGGUAUGUCGUUGACGCGGACGCCGGGAUAAUCUCAUUGAAAGAUUUGAUUUUCCGCUAAAUUUGAUAAAAGUAAUGAAACACUCCCUCGGGUGCGAACCCAGCGAUAGAUUGGAAUGUGGGGCACUGAUUUUUUAAAUCGCGGAAAUAGGUUGAAGUGUUUAAGUUAAAUUUUUAUCCAGGAUUGAAUGAUUGCAUGACAUUUCUCACAUUGAUGCGCCGCCUGGGGGCAAUCUAAACACAAUGGGCGUUCACUGCAUUCGUUGCAAAUCAAAACUAAAAGUUGUACGUAAUAUACUAUUUUGUUUAUAUAUCCUGCAUGAUACGGAUGGACACAAUGUACCUACUGCAACUUGGAAAAGUAGAUAAUAACUGGCAACACUGACGAAAAACGAGGAUCCGUUUACCAACAAUUUGGGCUGAACGGUGAGCCUAAGGUACGCACUACGAUCUAUCUAGAAGACUGAAAGACAAAUUAAACCAAUAGCGGUAGAGUCGAAAAUAUCGCUAUCGCUAUCAUUAUCGUUCGCUCUUUUUAUUUAAAUCGUUACUGAAAAAAACAA